AACGAACGCUGGCGGCAGGCUUAACACAUGCAAGUCGAGCGAGGGCUUCGGCCCUAGCGGCGGACGGGUGAGUAACGCGUGGGAACGUGCCUCUUUCUUCGGAAUAGCCCUGGGAAACUGGGAGUAAUGCCGGAUACGCCCCGCAAGGAGGAAAGAUUUAUCGGAAAGGGAUCGGCCCGCGUUGGAUUAGGUAGUUGGUGGGGUAAUGGCCUACCAAGCCGACGAUCCAUAGCUGGUUUGAGAGGAUGAUCAGCCACACUGGGACUGAGACACGGCCCAGACUCCUACGGGAGGCAGCAGUGGGGAAUCUUGGACAAUGGGGGCAACCCUGAUCCAGCCAUGCCGCGUGAUCGAUGAAGGCCUUAGGGUUGUAAAGAUCUUUCAGCUGGGAAGAUAAUGACGGUACCAGCAGAAGAAGCCCCGGCUAACUCCGUGCCAGCAGCCGCGGUAACAC
rnacentral:rRNA from 1 species